CGUGAUCCUUUGCUAGGCAUCCAUUCUGUGUGGUAAUCGUUGAAAAUGGUACACUCGUGUUGUGUGAAAGACUGCCAUUCUAGGUCCCAUGAUAGAAACGAAUGCAAAAAGGAUGGGAUAUUUUUUUUUUAGCAUUCCCGCCUGGAAGAGAAGAUAUGGAACUCAGAUGAGUUGACCAAGAGGCUUCGAAUGGUUGCAGCGGUGAGAAGAAAGGCCAUCACUUUUUAUUCAUCAACUGAAAACAUGUCGGUCUGUUCCCUACAUUUCCAUAAAGGAAAACCAGCAUAUGAAAUAAAUGAGGCAGACCCUGACUGGGCACCAUCCUUACGCCUGGGACACACAUGUGUUCAGCCCACCAACGUGGACCGCUCUUCUAGGCGAAGUAGGCGUGAGAAAUUGAGGAUGGAGGAAGACGUUGGUGAGCUACAGGAGGAGCUGUCAGCGCCCUUUAGAUGCUCCUUCUGACCUUCAUGCGCCUGCGUUUGGACCUGCCUACACGACACAUUGCACACAUAUUCCAUGUUUCCCGUAAGACUGUGUAUUGAGUGUUCAGUGGCAUGGUGCCCUUUUUACAUGCUAACUUGAGACGAGCAAUUGUUUGGCCCAACAGAGAAACACUCUAUAAAACAAUGCCUCACGAGUUUGUUGAGUCCUUCAGACGCAGAGUUGCAGUGAUUAUUGAGUUUUUUGAAAUUUUUACA